AGAACAUCAAGCUGCGAACAGUGCCUCUGCAGGAGCUGUGUCUGGGCAGCGCCAUCCAGGGCAGUUGUGUGACCAACAAGCCGUGGACAGUGCCUCUGCGGGAGCUGUGUCUGGAUAGCACCAUCCAGGGCAGUUAUGCAACCAACGAGAAGAAAGCUGCCCUGCCCCCGAUGUAGAGUACAGCAUUGUGAUGGCCACACCAACUUUCGAUGAUCAGCAGUGUUACAACAAUGACGAAAUAAAACAACUAGAACUUGCACUUCUAAGAGC